rnacentral:rRNA from 1 species
UACGGGGGGGGCAAGCGUUGUUCGGAAUUACUGGGCGUAAAGGGCUCGUAGGUGGCCAACUAAGUCAGACGUGAAAUCCCCAGGCUUAACCUGGGAACUGCGUCUGAUACUGGAUGGCUUGAAUCCGGGAGAGGGAUGCGGAAUUCCAGGUGUAGCGGUGAAAUGCGUAGAUAUCAGGAAGAACACCGAUGGCGAAGGCAGCUCUCUGGGACGGUACUGACGCUGAGACGCGAAAGCGUGGGGAGCGAACAGG